GUUAGAAAAAGGGGAGAGAAUCCGGUAUCCGCCUGUUCUGGGACGGGUUCCCCGCGAUUGUUCUGAAGUAAAAGGAUACCCCAACGACCUGGACUUUCCACCUCUGUGUAUACCCUGGGAUAAGCUUCGGGCUCAGCAAGACCAUUCAAUGAAGCGGAGAGAUGGAUAGUAAUUAAGUCUGUUCUAUUUAAGUUUACAGCAUAUAAUACUGCUCCUUACAUAUGUAAAUGAUAAGACUGAUGUAGCCUAGUGCAGUGUUUCCCAAUUCAGUCCUUGGAGACCCACAGACUACCCAUGUUGGGAGCUGGGAAGGAGCAAAAGUGUGGACCGGCUUUGGGUCCCCAAGGACUGGAUUGGGAAACACUGGCCUAGCGAAUGACCUGGCAUGUGAGAUUGAGAGUGAAUGGGCCAGGCAUUUCGGAGGGGCUCACCCCCUCGCUGGGCACACAUAGGGCUGAUGUGAUCAUUCCCGGACGCCUGUCUAACAGUCCCACCCUGGCUACCUCUCACUGAGGUGUAUGCUUUUGAGGAUGCCUGCAAUAAGCAAAUGUUCCUUCGCAGACAGACAACAAAUAAUCAGAGAGGUGCUGAUCCAUAGCUGUGUGUGUGCGGUCCCUUUGACUCCUCUGCUGUUUGCAUCUCUGGUCUCUAUGGUGAUAAGUUAGUUGCCCAGAGACAAAGAGUGAUGGUGGAUUUGAAACUAUGGUUUAUUUUCCAUUUGCACAAGUAUGAGUACCGGUACAUUGGAAUGCUUCUGUUCUCAUAUCCCAUCCUGCUCUCCUUUUGAAACAUACAUUUGAGAGCAAAACAUGGGGUCCGAGAGCAGGGUUAGGCGAUUCCUCUGGCAGCCCUUUUUGGGGAGGUGGGGGAGUUAUUUAAGGGUCUUACUCAAAGACCCAAUGGAAAUGUAUCUAUUCUGCUAAGGCUUAACACUUAACACUUUGUUAUGUCAGGUUCAGCUUAACAUUAUCUCAACUUUACCAUGUCAAACUUGUUCAAAUCAACAUAUCAAUAUUGCGUCAGUGCAUUACUAAAUUUCUCUUUAAAACAUCUGUAUUGGAGUGCUGUAAUGUGCAUAUGUAGAACUUAUGUGCAAAAUGUGUAUGUGCUAAUGAAUGAUGCUUGAUUAUAUAGAACAUUUCUGGUAGAUUACCGACACCUAAAGGCAUAGAGCAGCUCUGAUCUGAUAUGAACUCUUGCAUCUUUACCACACAAAUACGUGCAGGGCAGCAGUCAUGUUGCAGUGCUAACAUGCUAAUGCUAGCAUGUCAAGCAAUAAACACUAGCUGUUCCACACCAUUGGCUCAGUGAAGAUGUCCUGCAGUGUUCUACAAUGAAUGUCAUCAAGUUAAUUUUGCAUCCCUCUUAUUCCAAAGUAACUGACAUCAACAUUACAAGCAAAACAUUUUCCCAUAUUGCCUUUAUUAACCAGUAACGUUGGUUUUGUGAAGCUGUUUGGAUUCCUGCCCUCUUUCUGUUCUUAACUAUGUAGGUUGUUGAAGCCAGUUCUCAUCACCUUUGGACUUUGCUGUGUUUUCUGGCCCCUUGCAAAACUUUUCGCUUGGCUGCGUGAUCCGGUCUCAUUUUUGAACACCACCAAGUCGCAUGAGGAUUGGAGCGACAUCCGAUCCUAUCAGUGUGAGAUUACCCUCUGCUCUGGGAGUUAAAAUUCACCCUGAGGUCCUGCCAUUUUUCCAUUGAAGUUCAGUCGAGUCAAGAGCAGCGGAUGUGAUGGUCAUCAAGAUCACUUCAAGUCUCUGAGAACACAGUUGCCAAACUGGGUAAAUACAAGCCUGUAAUGGCAACUAUCACUCUGAACCUCCUAUCAGGCAGUGUGGAGAAUUACUCUGGGGGGUGUUCCACAAAGCAGGAUUUCUCAGUUAGGCGAGUUAACUUAACUAGAAGUCAUGAUUGUCCAAUAACUAAACUAGAAGUCACGAUUGUCCAAUAAGAGUUUAGGUAAGGAGCAUUCCUAUUGGACAAUCAUGACUUCCAGCUCAAAUUAAGCCAGUUAAUUGAGAAAUCUUGCUUUGUGGAAUGCCUCCUGAUCUUGGGAGAAUUGUAAGAAAUGUGGCCCAGGUUACUUUUAUAAACAUUUCUUGUUAUAUUUAUAUGUAUUCUUAUUUAUAUUUAUUUAUUUAUGGUAGUAGUAGUAUUCAUUCCUUUGUUUUGGUGUGGAGCAUAUAAUGAAAGGCUUUAGCGCCAUCAACCGGCCACACUCUGAAAGUGUAGGUCAUAAGCUCAGAAUGCCAUUAACUCAAAACAGCUGUUGCUUUGGGUGAUUUAUUAUACUUUUUGGGAUGCAUUUUUUUAUCUGAAGUGAUAUUUGGGUCUAAGGAGUUUUAAAAAGCACUGUUUUAAAUAAUUAGGAUUGUUUCACACAUACACUGGGAAUUUGACAGUCCCCUUAGAUGCCACUUGAUGAAAUCUUCCCUCAGUGGCGGCUCACUGCAGGUGGAAUCUUCCCUCAGUGGCGGCUCACUGCAGGUGGAAUCUUCCCUCAGUGUCGGCUCACUGCAGGUGGAAUCUUCCCUCAGUGGCGGCUCACUGCAGGUGGAAUCUUCCCUCAGUGGCGGCUCACUGCAGGUGGAAUCUUCCCUCAGUAGCGGCUCACUACAGGUGAACUUU